AUGAAAUUCAAGAAGAAUGAACCAAAACGGGGUAAAGGAAGCAGACUACUGACAAAGAAACAUAAAUUGGAAGCUGAAAAUGCAGAGGGUCACAAAUAUCUGGUGGGAAAACACGAUGGAACUACUGCUUAUCGUUGCGAGGAUUGGCUGGUAAACCCAUUUAAGGAGGUUGUAAUGACCGUCGAACAUGUUUCUGCAAAUGGGCGUCCAGAUGUCAGGGACAGUAAAAUUACUCUGGUUGCAGAAAUCCUGAACAGGGAUGCUUCGGCUGUAACUCCAAAGAUCUUACAAUCGCAAAUGCGUAAUGGUCUCCAAAAGCUUGAUUUAACUGAAGGAGAGAUUGCAGCCCAACAGUUCAUUGGUUCAGCAACGUCUUUAAAGAGGUCCAUUCAAGAGAAAUGGUAUUGGGAGGGCCAACAUCAAAAGAAAGAUCAGAGUGCAACUGGUGGAUGCUGUCUCUCCAUGUUAAAAUAUGAUAUAACUACAAGGCGCGCAUAUGCAUCCGCACAAGAGGAACCGUGGCAUGAUGAACCCGGAAGGAGGUUUCACGUGGCCCUGGGAGCUGACAAUGGCCAAGUGCCAAAAAUCUUGAAAAGAUACAUUGCUAGAAUAACUGACAACAUGCAUACUCAAAAUAAGAAGGCCAAGUUAAUGGUGGCUGAGCAUGAAGAAACAUGCCAUGCUAGUACACAAAGGGAAUUAUCUGAUGAAUUGUCAGAGGAACCGUGGCAUGAUGAACCCAGAAGGAGGUUGCACAUGGCCCUGAGAGCUGAUAAUGGUCAAGUGCCAAAAAUCAUGAAAAGACUCAUUGCUAGAGUAACUGACAACAUGCAUGCUGAAAAUAAGAAGGCCAAGUUAAUGGUGGCUGAGCAUGAAGAAACUUGCCGUGCUAGUACACAAAGGGAAUUAUCUGAUAAAUUGUCAGGUUCGCAUGCAACUUUGGCAGAAGAUGUUGAGUCCAGAACUGUUUCCGUGACAAAUGUACAUCUCAUGGCGACCAAGGAAGCAGAAUUGUCAACUCAUUUUAUGAGUGGGACUGGGACUGGGCUUAAGAUAAGCUUGUUGAAAGAUGCAGUUGCUAGCCACUAG
rnacentral:rRNA from 1 species